rnacentral:lncRNA from 1 species
GAGCCGCCUGGGAGCAGGGAGGGUUCUGCUACCCUGAGGGGCCCUCCCCGCGGGGCAGAGGGGUUUCCUCAGCAGUGCCCCGGAGCAGGGACCGCGCCAGCCAGCAGAAACAGCUAGUUGUUGUCUGCAGUGAAGAAUAAUUGGAAGCAUGGUGCCUGUUUCUUUUCCUGUGGGAGGAAGUCACAGCAUCUACUUCUGAAUCUGUGCUUGCCUUGAGGAAAAACGGCAUGGCACAGGAAUGUGGACGCUUUCAACCAGAGGAUUCUGUACGACGGUGUCGGCACACAAGGAGUGUUCCACUGACUGACCUCUUUUUGUUUUCAAAUGAAGAGGAGCCAAGAAUAGGACAGCUUGGGAAGGUGAGCUGCGUAUAGCUCGUCAGGCUGAGCUCAUCCUCGUCUACGGCCAAACGUUGGUUUCUCAUUUCUAGAAGAUGAAAGAUGUGAUGACUCAGGAAAAAAGGCUUCACCCAUUCUUUGUUUUGUGCAGCUGGAAUCUUAGUAACUGUGGUGGGCAUUGAGCCUUGCCGUCCACAAGAGAAAGCUUGCUGCUCGAGAUGUGAGUCUUCAGAUGUUCCUGCCGCCAUAUCUGACAGCUGCUGCCAAGAUUCCCUGGUGGGAUGGACUCUUAUACCUCAACAACCAGAAGCCCAAGUAAACUCUUCUAUAAAUUGAAUGACUCAUGCUUAAAAAAAAAAACAAAAAACAAACUAUCUUUA